rnacentral:rRNA from 1 species
AUACGAAGGGUGCAAGCGUUAAUCGGAAUUACUGGGCGUAAAGCGCGCGUAGGUGGUUCGUUAAGUUGGAUGUGAAAGCCCCGGGCUCAACCUGGGAAUUGCCUCCAAAACUGCAUGACUAGAGUACGGUAGAGGGUAGUGGAAUUUCCUGUGUAGCGGUGAAAUGCGUAGAUAUAGGAAGGAACACCAGUGGCGAAGGCGACUCCCGGGACGGAUACUGACACUGAGGUGCGAAAGCGUGGGGAUCAAACAGGAUUAUAUCCCCUGGUAGUCCACGCCGUAAACGAUGUCAACUAGCCGUUGGGAUCCUUGAGAUCUUAGUGGCGCAGCUAACGCAUUAAGUUGACCGCCUGGGGAGUACGGCCGCAAGGUUAAAACUCAAAUGAAUUGGCGGGG